AUUGAACGCUGGCGGCAUGCCUUACACAUGCAAGUCGAACGGUAACAGGUCUUCGGAUGCUGACGAGUGGCGAACGGGUGAGUAAUACAUCGGAACGUGCCCGAGAGUGGGGGAUAACGAGGCGAAAGCUUUGCUAAUACCGCAUACGAUCUCAGGAUGAAAGCAGGGGACCGCAAGGCCUUGCGCUCACGGAGCGGCCGAUGGCAGAUUAGGUAGUUGGUGGGAUAAAAGCUUACCAAGCCGACGAUCUGUAGCUGGUCUGAGAGGACGACCAGCCACGCUGGGACUGAGACACGGCCCAGACUCCUACGGGAGGCAGCAGUGGGGAAUUUUGGACAAUGGGCGCAAGCCUGAUCCAGCCAUGCCGCGUGCAGGAUGAAGGCCUUCGGGUUGUAAACUGCUUUUGUACGGAACGAAAAGACUCCUUCUAAUAAAGGGGGUCCAUGACGGUACCGUAAGAAUAAGCACCGGCUAACUCCGUGCCAGCCGCCGCUGUAACAC
rnacentral:rRNA from 1 species